rnacentral:rRNA from 1 species
CUCUCGACAACUACAUAUGAGAGGUCCCGCCUGCCCUGUGACUAAUGUUUAACGGCCGCGGUAUCUUGACCGUGCAAAGGUAGCGCAAUCACUUGUCUUUUAAAUGAAGACCUGUAUGAAUGGCUAAACGAGGGCUUAACUGUCUCCUUCUCUAGGUCAAUGAAAUUGAUCUCCCCGUGCAGAAGCGGGGAUACUGACAU